GGGCACGAUGUCAACUGUUCUUAGAAGAUCCAAUUAGACGUCCAGUAGCAUAUGGGACAGCUUACAGUGGUGGACAGGUUCAUGGGGUUACACUAAAUGUACAUU